AUACUUACCUGGCAGGGGAGACACCAUGAUCAGUUAGGUUGGUUUCCCAGUCCAUGUCACUUGGCAUGUGCUCUAACGACCCUGUGAUUUCCCCAAAUGUGGGAAACUCGGCUGCAUAAUUUGUUAAAGUGGGGUACUGCAUUCGUACUCUCCCCUG
ensembl:snRNA U1 U1 spliceosomal RNA